GACACCAUCACCAGAGUCCAUCACAAUACCUGCACAGCAAAUUCCAGAACAAUCACAAUAAAUAGACUAACAUAAAACACAGACGUACCUUGAAUAAGAUAAAAUGGACUUCCCAGGAUAUGAUCACUUAAACAGGAAACAAAUUAACUAAUAUCUGGCAAACAUCAAACGAAUGAUAUGAGGAGAACACUCCAAACAAACUAGUUGUUCAGCACAACAACUCACAGGUCUUAUCUAUAUUAAAAUAAACUCCAUUGGGCACAUAUACAUUGUUAUUUGCACAUCAAAGAGCUCCAUUUUCAAAUGAAACGGCCAUUGAAUGAAGAAAAUUAUUUGACUGCUCCCUUACCAGUUGUACGACCACUGGCAU
rnacentral:misc_RNA from 1 species